rnacentral:tRNA from 3 species
GAGGCAUUAGCUCAGUUGGUAGAGCAUCUCCCUUUUAAGGAGAGGGUCAAUGGUUCGAGCCCAUUAUGCCUCA